CGUGACCACAGGCAAGUGCUCAGCUCCCUGCUGUCCGGGGCCCUGGCUGGUGCCCUUGCCAAAACAGCGGUAGCUCCCCUGGACCGUACCAAAAUCAUCUUCCAAGAGCCCUGCCCCCUUGGCCUCGCCUCUUCGCCGGCGCACUGGCUGGAACGACAGCCGCUUCACUGACCUACCCCCUGGACCUGGUCAGAGCGCGGAUGGCCGUAACCCCGAAGGAAAUGUACAGCAACAUCUUUCAUGUCUUCAUCCGCAUCUCGAGAGAAGAGGGGCUGAAGACUCUCUACCAUGGAUUUAUGCCCACCGUGCUGGGGGUCA
rnacentral:sRNA from 1 species